GACAAAAAUAAAAUAUUAUAAUUAAACUUAGGUUAUCUUAGUCCAAAAGCCAUUUUACCUACACAAUUAAGGGAGUCUAGGUCAACCCUAAUACUUAACAUAAAUAAUCCAUUAAUUAAAACAAUAUAAUUAUACACCAUUACCACAAUGGAGCUCUAAGAACUAAAUAAAUAAAUAAACAAAAUAAAUAUUAGUAACUAAGCAAUACAAUAACCUGCGGAG
rnacentral:misc_RNA from 1 species